UACGGAGGGGGCGAGCGUUGUCCGAAGUUACUGGGCGUAAAGGGCGUGCAGGCGGUCUGUUAAGUGCAGGGUGAAAGCUCCCGGCUCAACUGGGAGAGGUCCUUGCAUACUGGCGGACUUGAGGGGGGUAGAGGAAAGUGGAAUUCCCGGUGUAGUGGUGAUAUGCGUAGAUAUCGGGAGGAACACCUGUGGCGAAGGCGGCUUUCUGGGCCCUACCUGACGCUGAGACGCGAAAGCGUGGGGAGCGAACCGG
rnacentral:rRNA from 1 species